GACGAACGCUGGCGGCGUGCUUAACACAUGCAAGUCGAACGGAAAGGCCCUGCUUUUGUGGGGUGCUCGAGUGGCGAACGGGUGAGUAACACGUGAGUAACCUGCCCUUGACUUUGUGAUAACUUCAGGAAACUGGGGCUAAUACCGGAUAGGAGCUCCUGCUGCAUGGUGGGGGUUGGAAAGUUUCGGCGGUUGGGGAUGGACUCGCGGCUUAUCAGCUUGUUGGUGGGGUAGUGGCUUACCAAGGCUUUGACGGGUAGCCGGCCUGAGAGGGUGACCGGCCACAUGGGGCCUGUGGCCCGGCCGGGCCUCCAACGGGGGGCAGAGGUGGGAGAUUUUCAACAAGGGGGGGAAGCGUAGCGCAACCCCGCCCCGCGCGGAAUAGCGGCUUUGGGUUUGAAACCCCCUUUCGCCUGGGACGAAGCGUGGGUGCCGGUACCGGGUAAAAAGGCACCGCCUACCCACGUC
rnacentral:rRNA from 1 species